GGGUGUAGCUCAGUGGUAGAGGGCAUGCUUAGCAUGCACAAGGUUCUGGGUUCGAUCCCCAGUACCUCCG
rnacentral:tRNA from 1 species